CCGCGGGAUUAGAGUUUGAUCCUGGCUCAGGAUAAACGCUGGCGGCGUGCCUAACACAUGCAAGUCGAACGCUCUUUUGCUCGCAAGAGCCAGAGGGAGUGGCGGACGGGUGAGUAACACAUGGGUAACCUACCCCACAGUGAGGAAUACCGGCGAGAAAUCGCCGACAAGACCGCAUAGGCUCGGUCCGGUGAAGCGGAGCGAGCAAAGUCUCGCAAGAGACGCUGAGGGAUGGGCCUGUGGCCGAUUAGCUAGUUGGUAAGGUAAAGGCUUACCAAGGCGACGAUCGGUAGCUGGUCUGAGAGGACGAACAGCCACACUGGGAUUGAGAACGGCCCAGACUCCUACGGGGGGCAGCAGUGAGGAAUUUUCCGCAAUGGACGCAAGUCUGACGGAGCAACGCCGCGUGCAGGAGGACGCUUUUCGGAGUGUAAACUGCUUUUCUGUGGGACGAGCGAGGACGGUACCACAGGAAGAAGCCCCGGCUAACUACGUGCCAGCAGCCGCGGUAAUACGUAGGGGGCGAGCGUUGUCCGGAGUUACUGGGCGUAAAGGGCAUGCAGGCGGUCGGACGCGUUUCCAGUGACAGUGGGUGGCUUACCUACCCGAGGAUUGGAAAGACGGUUUGACUUGAGGACUCGAGAGGGACACGGAAUUCCGGGUGGAGUGGUGAAAUGCGUAGAGAUCCGGAGGAACAUCAAAGGCGAAGGCAGUGUCCUGGCGAGUAACUGACGCUGAGGUGCGAAAGCUAGGGGAGCGAACGGGAUUAGAUACCCCGGUAGUCCUAGCCGU
rnacentral:rRNA from 1 species